rnacentral:rRNA from 1 species
CCCCUAGAUGUUCUGGGCCGCACGCGCGUUACACUGAUGCAUUCAACGAGCUUAUAACCUUGGCCGAGAGGCCUGGGCAAUCUUGUUAACGUGCAUCGUGAUAGGGAUAGAUUAUUGAAAUUAUUAAUCUUGAACGAGGAAUUCCUAGUAAACGCAGAUCAUCAAUCUGCAUUGAUUACGUCCCUGCCCUUUGUACACACCGCCCGUCGCACCUACCGAUUGGAUGGUCCGGUGAAGCCUCGGGAUUGUGGUUCUUGCCGCUUUAUUGUGGCGUGACCGCGAGAACUUGUCUAAACCUUAUCAUCUAGAGGAAGGUGAAGUCGUAACA